GAUGGGCCCCUAAGCGAAUACCAUCGUCCGUCGGGCCACAAGAAAACCCAACUUCUCCUUCUCGUUCUUUUCCCUCUCUGCUCCAGAACGUUUGACGACCAAAACGACGCCGUGCAACGGAUCCCUGCGAUCGCGGCCGAACCGAUUCAGAAGAAUCAAAUCAACGACGACCCUUAAUCGCAUGGAUUACAACGAUUCGUGGCGCGGAAGCGAUUAAAUCUUUCGUAAUCGCACGGAAACGUUCUGGAUACAAGAGGGUCACUAAAGGUGCGGGAAUAAAUUGGUAUCGAACUCUCCAUCCACGAGAUUUGGACCAAGACCUACGACUGUGCAUAUUGAGAUUUCGUCAUUCAGUUUUGUUGUAUUUGCCAAGGCUUCCAUGUGUCGCAAUGGCAGAUCAAUAUCCGGUUUGCGAGUCUCAAUCGUCCAGGCAUAAUCAUCCGAAGCGAUCAAGACCUGCCAAGGAAAUCGUUACCAAAUUUCAUUUAAAAUGGUUGUAAUGAACUUUGAAGUUUAUUUUCUACAGAAUGCAAGAUGUUGAUGUUCGUGGCUAGACUUUCUGUCGGGGAUGUCUCCUAGCCGACGAGCACAUAGCCCCCCGAGAGGUUGGUGCCGGUUGAUGCUUUCUGUCGAGCUUCUGCUUCACUGGCGGGCUUGUCGGGCAAGGCUGAAAGAGAAGGACAUAGUUAACUUUGAAAUGUGCCUUGGUGGGGCCUUAGGUAUAGGCCUUGAGGCUCACAAUCAAGAUUAACUUUUAAGUGCUCAGGCGUGCCACUGUCAUCUUUAACAUGGUAGAUGUAAAAUGGAUGUUGAGUUUUAGUUGUACAUAUACCCUUAGUUGUACAUAUACCUGAGAGGCUGUGUUAGUUAUGACAGAUGCCUUUGUGGGGCCUUAGGUGUAGGCCUUGAGGCUUCAAAUCAAGAACUAACCCAGCACUCGAAUAUAUGAUGUCUGUUUCAUUGAUUGCAGAAGUGUUAUAACUAUUAUACUUCUGA